UCUAACAUGUACGCGAGUCAUUGGGAUUUCAAAAUAAACCUAAAGGCGUAAUGAAAGUAAAAGUUAUUCUUGYGGUAACUGAGGGAGGAUGAGUUGUAUCAUGAUACAGCUUCGCACUCCUGGGGCGUUUCAUUCUCAUUACGAGAAGAGGCGCACCUAGAGCGUACAUGCUGGGACCCGAAAGAUGGUGAACUAUGCCUGGUCAGGAUGAAGUCAGGGGAAACUCUGAUGGAGGUCCGUAGCGAUUCUGACGUGCAAAUCGAUCGUCGGAACUGGGUAUAGGGGCGAAAGACUAAUCGAACCAUCUAGUAGCUGGUUCCCUCCGAAGUUUCCCUUAGGAUAGCUGGCACUYRUAUUAAACGAGUCUCAUCUGGUAAAGCGAAUGAUUAGAGGCCUUGGGGUCGAAACGACCUCAACCUAUUCUCAAACUUUAAAUGGGUGAGAUCUCUGGCUUGCUUGAAUUGUGAAGCCAUGAGAUUUCGGAUCAGAGUGCCAAGUGGGCCAAUUU
rnacentral:rRNA from 1 species